rnacentral:rRNA from 1 species
UCGAUUUGGAGUUUGUUGCCCUGAGUGAUGGGCUCCGAAGCUAACGCGAUAAAUCGACCGCCUGGGGAGUACGGCCGCAAGGUUAAAACUCAAAUGAAUUGACGGGGGCCCGCACAAGCGGUGGAGCAUGUGGUUUAAUUCGAUGCAACGCGAAGAACCUUACCUGGUCUUGACAUCCACAGAAUCUUGCAGAGAUGCGAGAGUGCCUUCGGGAACUGUGAGACAGGUGCUGCAUGGCUGUCGUCAGCUCGUGUUGUGAAAUGUUGGGUUAAGUCCCGCAACGAGCGCAACCCUUAUCCUUUGUUGCCAUCGGUUUGGCCGGGAACUCAAAGGAGACUGCCGUUGAUAAAGCGGAGGAAGGUGGGGACGACGUCAAGUCAUCAUGGCCCUUACGACCAGGGCUACACACGUGCUACAAUGGCGUAUACAAAGGGAGGCGACCUCGCGAGAGCAAGCGGACCUCAUAAAGUACGUCUAAGUCCGGAUUGCACUCUGCAACUCGAGUGCAUGAAGUUGGAAUCGCUAGUAAUCGUGGAUCAGCAUGCCACGGUGAAUACGUUCCCGGGCCU